UACGUAGGGUGCGAGCGUUGUCCGGAAUUAUUGGGCGUAAAGAGCUUGUAGGUGGUUUGUCGCGUCUGCUGUGAAAAUCCGAGGCUCAACCUCGGACUUGCAGUGGGUACGGGCAGACUAGAGUGUGGUAGGGGAGACUGGAAUUCCGUGGUGUAGAGCGGUGGAAUGCGCAGAUAUCAGGAGGAACACCGAUGGCGAAGGCAGGUCUCUGGGCCG
rnacentral:rRNA from 1 species